AUCCCGCACCAGCCACCACCCAAACCCUAGCCCCGUUUCCCCUCGAUCCCCACAGCCCCCGCCUCCUCCAUCCCUCCUCCUCACCUCGCCAUGGCCUCCGCCCCGGAGCCUCGCCGCCGCCUGCGAUUCCUCCCUCCUGCCCGCAGAGCCCAUUGGGCUCGCCAACCCUAGCCCCAAUCCACAUCCCCCGCGCCCCUCACUGGUCCCUCCUCCUCCUUCCCUCGUCUGCCGCCUCGCUCCCUCGCUCUCCUUCCUCGUCGCCGUGGCCUUUGGCCUAGGAGCCCCGCCGCCUACAGCUCCUCCUCCACCACCUCGCCUCUUUCUCCUCCUCGCCUUUCCAUCGCUCGCGCGCAGGUCACCACUGUCGGAGAACACGGGAGUGCGGGUCUUCAAGUUGGGGUGGUCAGGAGGGCUUCCCGACCUGACGGCGCCUCCUCCUCCUCGCAGCGUCGUCGCGCGUACACCUUCUUCUCCUCCCUCCUCCCUCCCUCGUCACUACUUCCACCAGUCCCCUCCCUUCCUCGUCCGUGGCCGCUGCUGACCCCUCCUCCGGCCUCCGCGUCUCUGCCCAGGCGGCAAGGCCCCCAGCCCCCCUCGGGCCUCGGCCCCUCCAUACAGCCCGCUUCUGCCUCGUCCAACUCGCUGCUUAGCUCCCAAGGCUCGGAGGGCAGCGGGCGCGGCAGGCUCGGCAGGCAGCGGGCGCGGUGGUCAAGGCCAGGGGCGCGGAUUGGGGAGAUGCGCACACGAGGAGCGACGGCGACCGCGUCUGCCGCCAACACCGAGAUCAGCUCUUCGUUCUUUCAAGCCCUAUGUUGCUUACUCAAAUGCUUGUGGCGAUUGUAUCCUUGUGCCAUGAAUAUUUGUACUUAGCAGAUCAAUAUAAACAUAUUGGCUAUCUAUUUACCAAUUCAGAAUUUAAAGCACUUUAUUUUAUGGCCUUGAGUAAAAGUUCAGUCGUUGUUGGCUGGAAGACAUCUUCAAUACGCUGUCUACACGAGCUUCCCAAGGUAAUGAUCUAAGAGGAAGUGAGUUGGAGAUGAGAUGGGGACAGAAGAUCCUGCAGUGAUGUUGUUUCUUUGUUCUCCUGCUCAAGGUUUGCUCUUUCCUACUUACUGUCAUGGUGGUUGGUUCACUGCUCGUUUUAUUGUUUCGGAAUUAGCCGCCUGUCGUGUUUUGAUUUGCCUCGUGCUGCUUAUAUUUCGUGUUUGCGUGUGGGAAGGAUGUGUGCUAUAGAUUUUGUGUGUGCAUCUGAGAUACCUAGAAUGGUUGAGAACUGAAUGUGUUGCCCUAUUUAAUUGGCAUAUUCAACUUAAUUAAUACGCCUUUUAGCCGUGACUUCUGCCCAAACUUUUGAAAGUGCAGAUGAUCACUCUAUCGGGUAAUGGUGUUUUCUAUUGCAAUUUGUCAGCUAUACUACAUGCUGCCCCUGUUUCUUUUGCUCUGCUAAAAAUGUGUGCUUACUUUCAAUCUUAUUACAUCAAUAGACUUGUGGGCGUAUAGUAUUUCUGUAAUCUCUGUGCCUUACCGGUUUUGUGAUUUCAGCUCAGGUGGAUGAGCCCCGUCCUGUGUUAUUCCCCUUGGUUUCUGAAGCUCCCAGGAUUUAAUAAUGAGUUGUCUUGGGCUUCAUUGGACAAAUGAUCUACCUUGAGCAAUGAUACAUCUCAGGUGGAUGAUCCCCGUCCUGUGUUAUUCCCCUUGGUUUCUGAAGCUCCCAGGAUUUAAUAAUGAGGUGUCUUGGGCUUCAUUGGACAGAUGAUCUACCUCGAGCAAUGAUACAGGUUGGCGUUGAAGCAUGAUGGCGUUUUUCUUGCAGCAAAUCUUGGCAGGAAGACUCUGAAGUGAUAAUCUUAAAUUUGCCAUUUACCGACAUUUUCCAGUUUCUUGUUUGACUUGCCUUUUCUUGGAUGCGAUGAUAAGGGAACUAAGAAUUGCGUGCACUAUUGCUCAAAUGGAACAUAAGGGAGGUAUCAGUCCUCAAAUGUUGCCUCUAGAACAAAAGUAACGCUCAAAAGCCUGAAUAGAAUUCCUUGGGAAAGGGUAGAUGUUAGCUUCAAGAGAAGUAGACAAUGGAUUUUUGCCCAUAGCACCAUUCAGCCCUACCGCUCCUGAGCCCAAAUCCCAUGACCAUGCCCCCACCUCUCCUUUGUGGAAUGAAGGGAGUCUAGUUGCUAAAAACAGCUUUUCUAGCAAUAGCCAAAUAGUGUGACAUAACACUAUUCCAUUUUCACAGGCCAUAACACAUCUUUACAGAGUGAGCUACCAUCACUUCUCAUUACUGACUGUAAUCAAUAUAUAUGUGUUUAUGCCAUAAAAGAUGGAUAUUUGUCGAAGCCAUUGUCGUGUCAUGUAAUUACCUGGAGAUCAGCUAUAUAGUUUUGUUCGGAUUAUAUAGUGGAAACGACAACUCCCGUGUGAUUGUCAUUUGAUUAUUUACUUCCUCAAGUAGUAUGGAUAUGGUGCUGCCAGGAUAUUAAGUAUAUUCAUGAAGUUGUAUAAACCACGUUCUACGAUUCACUUCUGUUAUGCAUAUUUAUUUUCCAGUUUUAGGACUGAAAUCCAUCCAUUGUAAUGAACUUGGUUGUAUGGGCAUUACCUAUUUGACUUACGCUUGCUUCAUCACAUAUAGACUGCUUUUCUUUUCC